rnacentral:rRNA from 1 species
UCCUCCCUCUGGCGGCGUGCCUAAUACAUGCAAGUAGAACGCUGAAGAGAGGAGCUUGCUCUUCUUGGAUGAGUUGCGAACGGGUGAGUAACGCGUAGGUAACCUGCCUUGUAGCGGGGGAUAACUAUUGGAAACGAUAGCUAAUACCGCAUAACAAUGGAUGACCCAUGUCAUUUAUUUGAAAGGGGCAAAUGCUCCACUACAAGAUGGACCUGCGUUGUAUUAGCUAGUAGGUGAGGUAACGGCUCACCUAGGCGACGAUACAUAGCCGACCUGAGAGGGUGAUCGGCCACACUGGGACUGAGACACGGCCCAGACUCCUACGGGAGGCAGCAGUAGGGAAUCUUCGGCAAUGGGGGCAACCCUGACCGAGCAACGCCGCGUGAGUGAAGAAGGUUUUCGGAUCGUAAAGCUCUGUUGUAAGUCAAGAACGAGUGUGAGAGUGGAAAGUUCACACUGUGACGGUAGCUUACCAGAAAGGGACGGCUAACUACGU